UACGUAGGGGGCAAGCGUUGUCCGGAAUUAUUGGGCGUAAAGAGCUCGUAGGCGGUUUGUUGCGUCGGCUGUGAAAUCCCGAGGCUCAACCUCGGGUCUGCAGUCGAUACGAGCAAACUAGAGUGUUGCAGGGGAGACUGGAAUUCCUGGUGUAGCGGUGAAAUGCGCAGAUAUCAAGAGGAACACCUGCGGCGAAGGCGGGUUGCUGGGCUGACACUGACGCUGAGGCGCGAAAGCUAGGGGAGCGAACGGG
rnacentral:rRNA from 1 species